GAAGCCUGGAUGAAUAACUGCACUUUUAAGAUAUAUUUGCUCUAAAAUAAUAGGAAUAACGUGACUGGUUUUGAUAUUUGCAGUGUAAUGGUACUGAAACUCCUAAAUUGUAAUAAACAGUGUACUUUCUUGCAAUACAUUGAAAUAACGUUACUAUUAUGAAAAAUUGUGUUCUUGUUGCCAAAAAAAAAGGGGCUGAGUUAAUACUUGACCCACUUGAGCUGAAAAUGCUUGUUCCAGCAUGAAGUUCUCCAGCAAAUGACAGUUCUGCAACAAAAGCUUCAAGUCCUCUUCACAAUCUUCUACCAGCAUCUCUUCAGAUGUUAUUGUUUUGCUCCACAUUCCACUUGACACCAUCCAGCAGCUGAAACACAGGGAACUCCAGCAGAAAACUCCCUGGGCUCUGCUUCUGCCUGAAGUGAGGGUUUUGUUUACAGCCCCGUGUUACUCGUGGAGUCCUUGCUCUCCCUGCUGCAUCCCUGGAGUGGGUGCUGGAAAAGCGACUCCGGGGGUUUGUGAGAAGUUGAGCUGAGUGCCUCUCUGGCCAGGAUCAAGGUGUUCCACCUGAAGCUGCAGGAGAAAUUCAGGCUCUUGGCAAAGCAAAAGGCAGCAGCACGGUGGGAUUGCUCUGGUGCAGCUGGGGUGAGAUGCCUGCAUCCUGCAGCCCUCCUUCCGGAACAGUUUGCAGCGGGCGGCCCUGAGAGCUCAGCGUGGGAGGCACCCAGGUUUGAGCCUUGGAGCUUCAAAGCAGAACAGUGUCUUCUGAAGCACACAGCUAAAGGAACACAGGAGUGGAAGUUUACUCUUGGAGGUUUGUUUUCAUUUCUGGCUGACGUGAUGCAAGACGCUUGACGCCUCAAGCUGGCAAAUAUUUCUUGGCACUGGCAUCAGAACUGAAAGUCCAAACUGGUUUCUGCAGCAGGAGCAACAUUUUUAGUAGUUUCUUUCAUCUGCCAAGGAAGUAGGGGCACUCUGGUUGCUGCCAUUCUGCCACCCUCAUUCCCUGCGUGCACUUCAGCAGAGGUGAGAUAUACGGUAAGAGGUCUAAGGGGAUCAAUAACUGCACACCCACAGACUUUCAUCUCUAGAUCCUUGCUUGAAAGCUGGCUUGUGAUCAAACCCCAGGCAAUCUGACAGCUGUUUGGUCAUUGAUACAAACUGAAUUGGUGGCCUCCAUCCAGUUGCUUGUGCAAGCAGGCAAGUGCAUCCAAAUAGUUAGAUUAAGUUAGUACCUUUAUCUGGAAGUCUCAGGAGAGCAGUCGUGUUUGAAUGUCAUGGAGGUUUGUCUCAGGAACCACACCAGUGUCCUGCCAGUGUUUCCCAGUUCUUGCUGGGCUUCACAGGUAACUUUCCCAAGUAUUUGUAAGAUGAGGAAUGCACAUCUUCUGAAAAUCUUUCCAUCUGUUUUUUAUAGAGAAAAGUAGGAGAGCAAUCACAGCCCUCAAGCCUGACCAGGGACCGAAACAUCAACCUCUAAUUUAGUUUUUCUGAGCCUUAAUCUCUAGCUCUAAAAUUCAGAAGAGAUGGUAGCACUGAGGAUAACAUCAACAUCCCACUACGUGGACACUAGAGAUGGGUUUUCUCAGUUCAGUCCCUUUUACACCUUGAAAGCCCCCUCUGGUGUCACAGGCUGGUGUAUUGCACAGGAGACCACGUCAUGGGCAGUCUCACAGGGCGGUGACCCCACCAGUGUCUCUGCUGGCACUAUCUCCUCAUUCUCCUAAAAACGAUGCCAGUAUUUUCCCUACCACGUGCAAGGAUCCACAGUAAAUUUGAUUUAAUUAAGCAUUUAUAGCACCCUAAUUUAAUGGGGCUGUUGCAACAAUGCUCUUGGCACUGCUCCUGUUCCCUCACUGGAACCACGCACGCAGCCUCUGGCUGCACCACUGGGUCACUUGGGGACUGUGUUACUGCCUUGUAAAAUGCUGCGAAAGCACGGUUGUCAAUUAUACAGCAAGCUUCCUCAGGCUUUGGUGUCUGCCUUCCUCCAUCAGCCACAGCAUCUUCUUUGCUGAGCCCCAGAAUGUGCAGGAAGUAGAAAUCGGC